GAUGAACGCUGGCGGCGUGCCUAAUACAUGCAAGUCGAGCGGUAAGGCCCUUCGGGGUACACGAGCGGCGGACGGCUGAGUAACACGUAGGAACGUACCCCAAACUGAGGGAUAAGCACCAGAAAUGGUGUCUAAUACCGCAUGUGCUCUAAGGAGUAAAGCUUCGGCGGUUUGGGAACGGCCUGCGUCCGAUUAGCUUGAUGGUGAGGUAAUGGCUCACCAUGGCGACGAUCGGUAGCUGGUCUGAGAGGAUGACCAGCCAGACUGGAACUGAGAACGGUCCAGACUCCUACGGGAGGCAGCAGUAGGGAAUUUUCCACAAUGGGGGCAACCCUGAUGGAGCAACGCCGCGUGCAGGAUGAAGGCUCUUGGGUCGUAAACUGCUUUUAUCUGUGACGAAUAUGACGGUAGCAGAUGAAUAAGGAUCGGCUAACUCCGUGCCAGCAGCCGCAGUAAUAC
rnacentral:rRNA from 1 species